rnacentral:rRNA from 1 species
UACGAAGGGGGCUAGCGUUGCUCGGAAUCACUGGGCGUAAAGCGCACGUAGGCGGAUCGUUAAGUCAGGGGUGAAAUCCUGGAGCUCAACUCCAGAACUGCCUUUGAUACUGGCGAUCUUGAGUUCGGGAGAGGUGAGUGGAACUGCGAGUGUAGAGGUGAAAUUCGUAGAUAUUCGCAAGAACACCAGUGGCGAAGGCGGCUCACUGGACUGGUAUUGACGCUGAGGUGCGAAAGCGUGGGGAGCAAACAGG